UGGGAUUAGUUCAUGAGAUUUUUACUAUAGGGUCUGCUAAAUUGAUUUGGAUUGACAGAUAUUGAUAAUUUGGGAUUUGAAGAUUCAUUUUGCAGCACGAAGCUAAAGGCUAAUCAUCAGUCAUCACAGGAAGGAAAGGUGCUUUAACAGAUAUAAUAGGAAUGGACUUUUUGCAAAUGGAGAAUUGUAGUUGCAUAUAGAGAAAUAUGGUGGAUCAAAUUAAGAGGUGCAGUCUGUGAUUUAAACUUUGGAGAAAAUUAGCUACUUCUUGACCACACACUCCCCAUGUAUAGACAAUUUGGAUGCAGCAUUUGAUAAAUUGAUGGGGUGGAUAAUAAUUUCUACUUAAUGAAGCAUGAAUUUUAUGAGAUUAAUAUGGUAGAUGACAGUAUCCACUAUCCACAUACUAUGAAACUUAGGAAAGUAGGGUCAGAACGAUGGAAGCUGUAGAAGCAGCUGACACAUAAAAGGGGGUUGCUUUAAGUGGGGACUAUGGGAAAAGAAGGCAAGAAGGUGAUCGUACUUGCAGCAAGUGAGACACCGCAUGCAUGAAGCCUUGGAGCGUGGAGAGAUGAAUGUCCCUUAACCUUUGGUCAAAGGUCUGAACGAACAAAGAGGAACCAUUGACACUUUUCCCCAUUUGCUCUUGUUAAUUUGUUAUUGUUGACAUUGUUGUUGCUGUUCUCCCCCUCUCUCUCUCUCUGUCCCGUCCAUCCAUCUCUAAACUCUCUUCCCACAUGGAUUUCCCUCCUAUUCAUUUGUAUUCCUCUUUGUUUCUCUCUUUCCCCACCCCUAACCUAAAACCUCUCUCAACAAAAAAACAAAAAGUCUAUCAUCUCUCUUACCCUCAUGCAGCUUCAGUCACAUAAAAAUGAGCACAGACAAUAAGCUGACUCAAGAAUUAAUGAAAGUUGGCUCCUCCACAUGCAGCAUUUUUGGUCGCAGCUUAAACUCAAGGGGUAUAUGGUUUGGAGAUGACCCUCUCGACUUCUCUCUCCCUCUCUUGCUGUUGCAGCUCUCCCUCAUUUGCAUCUUCUCUCGUUCCCUUCACGCCCUUUUCAAGAAUCUUGACCAACCCUCCAUUGUUUCUCAGAUUGUUGCUGGUGUAAUUUUAGGUCCCUCAGUUCUUGGGCGCAGUGCAGCUUAUGCAGUCAAAGUUUUCCCACCUAAAGGGAAAAUUUUAGUGGACACCUUGGCAGUUUUUGGUCUCAUGCUAUUUGUGUUCCUACAUGGGGUGAAGACAGACCCAACUAUCUUUCUUAAAUCAGGCAAGAGGCCAUUGGCUAUAGGAAUUUUAGGCUUCUUUGUUCCUUAUGCACUGGCUGGACUAGUAGCCUUAGUCCUCAAUCAUUUUCUGUCAUUGGAUCAUGAUAUUUCCAAUGUGCUUCACCUUGUGGCAGUAUUACAGUCUCUGACUUCCUUCCCAGUUAUUGCUUGCUUUCUGGCUGAACUCAAGCUCCUCAAUUCAGAGCUUGGACGGCUGGCGUCAUGUUCUUCAAUUGUGUCUGAUAUGUGCCACUGGUUUAUUGUGGCAGUGAGGAUUGCUACAAGACUAACUAUUGCAAGGUCAUUGAGAACAUCAAUUGGGGCUACUCUCUCAACUAUCCUUCUUGUUAUAUUCUUUGUGGUUGGAAUCCGUCCAGCAGCUCUAUGGGCAAUUCGACAUUUCCCUGAAGGGAAACCUGUAAAAGAGAUCUAUAUUUCUGUAGUCCUUAUAGCACUAUUGUUUUGUGGAUUUAUGGGUGAAGUUAUUGGCAUAAACGCUUUUAUCAGUUCUUUCGUAUUGGGCUUGUUCAUACCAGAUGGCCCUCCUUUAGGUGCUGCACUAGUAGAGAGGUUUGAUUGCUUUGUUUCAGUAUUGCUGAUGCCUAUAUUUUUCACCUCAUGUGGAUUAAAGGUGGAUAUUUUUGCCAUAAAAAAUUUUAAGAAUGUGGGAAUGAUUCAGUUGGUUGUUGUUGCUGCAUUAUUUGGGAAGAUGAUAGGGACAAUGUUGCCUCCUAUCUUGUGUAGGAUGAUGCGACUCCGAGAUGCCCUCUCUCUUGGUAUUAUUAUGAACUCCAAAGGCAUUGCUGAACUUGCUAUAUUGAUUCGCUGGAAGGAACACAAUGUCAUAAAUGAAGAAUGCUUCACCAUUUUGAUAAUCUCUUUGCUGAUUGUAACUGGAGCUAUCACUCCCCUCACCAAUGCCCUAUAUGAUCCUUCAAAGAGGUUCCUUGCCUACAAAAGGAGGACUAUUUUACACCACAGGAGCGAUGAAGAGCUGCGCAUACUUGCUUGCAUCCAUACAACCGAUAAUGUCCAAGCAGUUUUGAACCUUCUUUCUGCUUCCAACCCCAGCAAAGAGAGCCCCAUCAAUUUAGCUGUUCUGCACCUAAUCAAGCUUGUUGGCCGUGCAUCCCCCCUACUCAUUGCUUGUGUGUCAAGGGAAAAUAAAUCUCAAUAUUCAACUCAAUCAGAACAAAUUUUCAAUGCAUUUAGAAAAUUUGAACAACAUUACUCUGGCCAUGUUAUAGUGCAUUGUUAUAAAGGCAUUUCCCCUUAUGCUACAAUGCACAAUGAUGUAUGCUCCCUAGCUCUUGAAAAGAGAACAACCUUCAUAGUCAUCCCUUUCCACAAGCAGUGGGUUAUUGGGGGAAGAGUAGAAUCCUCUAAUACUCUUAGGCACCUCAACAAUAAUGUGCUUGAUAAGGCUCCCUGCUCUGUUGGAGUCCUCAUUGACCGUGGGAAUCAGAGGAAACCUUGGUCCAUUCUUGGACAACCCUCAAUGUAUCGGGUGGCUGUGCUCUUCUUUGGGGGUGCGGAUGACCGAGAAGUACUAGCAUAUGCUGGACGCAUGUAUGAUGAUCAUAAUGUUCUAAUUACACUUCUACGUUUCUAUUCUUCAACUGAGAUUGUUGGAGGUACAGCUAGGAGCAAGAUACUUGAUACCGAAAUCUUGAGUCAAUUUAGGCUCAAUGCCUUUCGUAAUCAGCGAGUUUCUUACCAAGAGGAGAUGGUGAUGGAUGGAAAUGGUGUACUUGCUGUACUCAGGUCAAUGGAGAAUGCUUAUGACCUUGUUAUGGUUGGGAGACGUCAUCAGGAUUCGCAAUUGAUGUCAGACCUUGGGAAAUGGAGUGAGCAUGGUGAGUUGGGUGCAAUAGGAGAUAUACUCGCUGCCAAAGAUUUUAGGGGUGCAGCUUCAGUUUUGGUUGUGCAGCAACAGACCAAAUUGUGGGGGUUGAAUGACCCUGAGGAUUCCACGCAAUUGAGAAGAGCAAAUAUAUAAGAGUUUUUAGGAUUUUGAACAUGUUCAGUUAUAGAUAUAAUCAUAUAGACCUAGUGCAGGAUCUAAUUCACAGCCUCCAUCAUUCCAAGUUGUGUAUCCAAUUAUCUUCUUGAUCUUUUUCUCUCUUCCAUUUCCUUGUGGGUAAGAGAUAA